GAUGAACGCUGGCGGCGUGCCUAAUACAUGCAAGUCGAGCGAACGGACGAGAAGCUUGCUCUUCUGAUGUUAGCGGCGGACGGGUGAGUAACACGUGGAUAACCUACCUAUAAGACUGGGAUAACUUCGGGAAACCGGAGCUAAUACUGGAUAAUAUUUUGAACCGCAUGGUUCAAAAGUGAAAGACGGUUUUGCUGUCACUUAUAGCUGGAUCCGCGUUGCAUUAGCUAGUUGGUAAGGUAACGGCUUACCAAGGCAACGAUGCGUAGCCGACCUGAGAGGAUGAUCAGCCACACUGGAACUGAGACACGGUCCAGACUCCUACGGGAGGCAGCAGUAGGGAAUCUUCCGCAAUGGGCGAAAGCCUGACGGAGCAACGCCGCGUGAGUGAUGAAGGUCUUCGGAUCGUAAAACUCUGUUAUUAGGGAAGAACAGAUGUGUAAGUAACUGUGCACAUCUUGACGGUACCUAAUCAGAAAGCCACGGCUAACUACGUG
rnacentral:rRNA from 1 species